rnacentral:misc_RNA from 1 species
UCUCCGUAGGUGAACCAGCGGAGGGAUCAUUACCACACUUGCACCUAGCACGCCCCUGUCUGCGUACCUUUAAUUUCUUCUUCAUAUAAUCCACUUCUCCGUGAAAAGGUCCUCAGGGCCGCCAGUAAACACUAUAUUAAACUUCCUUUUUCUACUAUGAAUUAUACACAAGAACAUUUAAGUUAUAUAUCUUUACUGACUAUAAUGCUAGAUCAUUAAUUAUAACACCACUUUUAACAAGGGAUAUCUAGGUUCUCGCAUCGAUGACGAACGCAGCAA